rnacentral:tRNA from 1 species
GCAAGGUCAGCUAAAUAAGCUCCUGGGCCCAUACCCCAGCUAUGUAGGUUCAAAUCCUUCCUUUGCUG